CGUAAGGCGCCGAAUGAGUCAUUAAAAAAUUAACAUCAUCCGAUCCCUAGUCGGCAUAGUUUAUGGUUAAGGCUACGACGGUAUCUGAUCGUCUUCGAUCCCCUAACUUUCGUUCUUGAUUAAUGAAAACAUCCUUGGCAAAUGCUUUCGCAGUAGUUAGUCUUCAAUAAAUCCAAGAAUUUCACCUCUGACAAUUGAAUACUAAUGCCCCCAACUAUCCCUAUUAAUCAUUACAUCGAUCCUAGAAACCAACAAAAUAGAAUCGGAUGUCCUAUUUCAUUAUUCCAUGCUAAUGUAUUCAAGCGUGAGCCUGCUUUAAACACUCUAAUUUUUUCAAGGUAACAGUCCUAAUUCCCCGUAACACCAAAUUAAUGGCAUUACGGUUCUUUAGAAGGUGAGAAAUCAAUGAUAACAGUGCAUACCAACGGCAUGACCGAAAUAUUGAUCCCGAAAUUCAACUACGAGCUUUUUAACUGCAACAACUUUAAUAUACGCUAUUGGAGCUGGAAUUACCGCGGCUGCUGGCACCAGACUUGCCCUCCAAUUGUUCCUCGUUAAGAGAUUUAAAUUGUACUCAUUCCAAUUACAAGAUCCAAAAGAACCCUGUAUUGUUAUUUAUUGUCACUACCUCCCCGUGUCGGGAUUGGGUAAUUUGCGCGCCUGCUGCCUUCCUUGGAUGUGGUAGCCGUUUCUCAGGCUCCCUCUCCGGUGUCGUGCC
rnacentral:rRNA from 1 species